rnacentral:rRNA from 1 species
UACGUAGGGCGCAAGCGUUGUCCGGAAUUAUUGGGCGUAAAGAGCUCGUAGGCGGCUUGUCACGUCGAUUGUGAAAGCCCGAGGCUUAACCUCGGGUCUGCAGUCGAUACGGGCUAGCUAGAGUGUGGUAGGGGAGAUCGGAAUUCCUGGUGUAGCGGUGAAAUGCGUAGAUAUCUGGAGGAACACCGGUGGCGAAGGCGGCAUCCUGGACCGGUAUUGACGCUGAGGCGCGAAAGCCAGGGGAGCAAACGGG